GAAUGUAAUUCAUGCUGCAUCGGAGAUGCAGAAGCUCUCCCUAAGCCAAAAAGAGAUUGUGGAAGCCAACAAGUUCAAAAAGAUUUCCCAUGAGAAGAAGGGGGCAGCUCCAGUGAACAUGUCCAAACUUUUAAGUUUUGGUUAUGUUGAGGAAGAGAAUAAAUCUCUCAAUGAUGAUGAUGCUUCAAGUAUUACCUCUGAGCAGACCAGCACCAUUGCACCAGAGGAGGAACUGGAAUAAAAAUGAUGUCCCCUAGCUAAAACCCUUCUUCAUGAAUUGUUGUUCUCUCGUAUCCACUAGCUCCUUUGAAUCAACCACCCACUCUGCUUUAUGCAAAAACACUUUUUAGUCAUCUGAUUGUUCUCAUUUUGCAUCUUUAUCUAAAUGACUUGUUUGUGUUAUGCUCACAUAUCUAUGGUGCUUGUGAUCAGGAUAACUAUACCCCUAGAAGGAAGGAAUAUUUGUAAGUCCCUAAAUGAAAUCUACAGGGUAUAUGCACCACAAAAUACAUCUUGGAUGCAUGAAGCAUUGAUACCAAGGAGCUGAUUUUCAUACUAUUCAUUCUUCACUUGCACAUUGGUGAUCAUGGCGCAAUAAUGUGCCAAAACCUUAAGAAAACUAAAGAUAGCACACACAUAGACAGAUAGGAUAUACCUAUGCCACGUUAAACAGCUGUUUCUCACCUCACAUUGUCAAUGGAUAUGACAAAAUGUGUAAGCUGCAAACUCUUACUACACUUUCCAUGGCUGGUUUAUACAUUACAGUAAGUCUCUUGUUUGAACACUUUUGAGUGUUCUUACAGCCCAGUAGUUAGCUAGUUGAGCGCAUGAUGAGCACACAAGAAGGUUACCUUACAGUAAAUGAUUAUAUGAAGUGAGAACUUUGAGAACAGGAAGGGGGUUUAGGGAGUUCGCGAUUGUGAAUGUCUGUUGUUGUUAGUUUUGAUGUGAUAGUAAAUAAUAACCAGAGAUUCAGCUGUUUUGGUGUUCUACGCUGUAUAAUUUAAUGUUUCUUCCUUCUGAAAACAAUGUUUACACUUGCUGUCAGUUCCUAUCUAUAAAUGAUGACUGAAUAAAUUUGC